UACAGAGGGUGCGAGCGUUGUCCGGAAUCACUGGGCGUAAAGGGCGCGUAGGCGGCCCGGUAAGGUUGCGGUGAAAGCCCGGGGCUCAACCCCGGGUCGGCCGUGGCAACUGCUGGGCUGGAGCACAGUAGAGGCGGGUGGAAUUCCGGGUGUAGCGGUGGAAUGCGUAGAGAUCCGGAAGGACACCGGUGGCGAAGGCGGGUCACUGGG
rnacentral:rRNA from 1 species